CCUACGGGAGGCAGCAGUAGGGAAUUUUCGUCAAUGGGCGCAAGCCUGAACGAGCGAUGCCGCGUGAAUGAAGAAGGCCUUCGGGUCGUAAAGCUCUGUUGCGGGGGAAGAAAUGCAGCAUCAGGAAAUGGGUGCUGACUGAUGGUGCCCCGCCAGAAAGUCACGGCUAACUACGGUCCAGCGGCCGCGGUAAUACGUAGGUGGCGAGCGUUAUCCGGAAGGGUUGGGCGUAAAGGGUGCGAAGGCGGUCCUGCAAGUCGGGAGUGAAAGGCAUGGGCUCAACUCAUGCAUGGCUUUGGAAACUGGAGGACUGGAGUGCAGGAGAGGGAGGUGGAACUCCAUGUGUAGCGGUAAAAUGCGUAGAUAUAUGGAAGAACACCAGUGGCGAAGGCGGCCGCCUGGCCUGUUGCUGACGCUGAGGCACGAAAGCGUGGGGAGCAAAUAGGAUUAGAUACCCGAGUAGUC
rnacentral:rRNA from 1 species